GGGCGGUUAGCUCAGCGGUAGAGCACUACCUUGACAUGGUAGGGGUCACAGGUUCGAUCCCUGUACCGCCCACCA
rnacentral:tRNA from 19 species